GUUGCUGUGGUGUAGUGGUCAUCACGUCAGUCUUACACACUGAAGGUCCCCAGUUCGAUCCUGGGCAGCAACA